UACGUAGGGGACUAGCGUUGUCCGGAUUUAUUGGGCGUAAAGAGCGUGUAGGCGGCCAGGUAGGUCUGCUGUGAAAACUCGAGGCUCAACCUCGAGAUGUCGGCGGAAACCAUCUGGCUAGAGUCCGGAAGAGGAGAGUGGAAUUCCUGGUGUAGCGGUGAAAUGCGCAGAUAUCAGGAAGAACACCCGUGGCGAAGGCGGCUCUCUGGGACGGUACUGACGCUGAGACGCGAAAGCGUGGGGAGCGAACAGG
rnacentral:rRNA from 1 species